rnacentral:lncRNA from 13 species
AUUCCAAUUAAAAGAUUAUUGAAAACCUCCCUAUGGUACUGAAGGCAAGAUUUUUCUUGCAUCCAAGUACAAGAUGAUGUUGGUACCAAAGCUGAUAUCCAGAGAAGAUUUCAUCAUGUUGCCCAGGCCGAUCUUGAACUCCUAGGCUCAAGUGAUUCACCGUCCUCAGCCCCUCAGAGUGCUGGGAUUACAGAUUGACUGAUUGGCCUGGCUCUAUCACCAGGAAGUCAAAGUAAAAUUCCACCACUGAACUCUGGAAAGGCAUGUCUUCCGAAGAGUGGGAUUGCCCAUCAAAGAAACAGGAAAAUGCCAUUAGCAAUGAGCUGAAGACUGACUGAUUUACGCUACCAGGCAUGCUUUUAAUGACUACUUGUACAAACAUAGAACUAGAAAAAGUGCUAGAAGCUGACCAGAGACAAAACAAAGAGCACGGUUCUUUUUGGGGCAUCUGCUUAAGGAACAUCACAUGCCCGCCUCAACAGGCUCCCCCUCUCUGUAUUCUGUCAUUAGGAGCAGCAGGACAUUCGGUAAUGAGAAGAUGGAGAUAUCAUUCUUAUAUAAUGCUGCAAUCCGGAAGCAGCACUCUCAAAAAGACAGGGUCCCGCUCUGUUGCCCAGGCUGGAGUGCAGUGGUGCGAUCUCGGCUGA